UAGUCCACGCCGUAAACGAUGUGUACUAGAUAUUGGAGGAUUGACCCCUUCAGUGUCGCAGCUAACGCAUUAAGUACACCGCCUGGGGAGUACGGUCGCAAGACUAAAACUCAAAAGAAUUGACGGGGGCCCGCACAAGCGGUGGAUUAUGUGGUUUAAUUCGAAGCAACGCGCAGAACCUUACCUGGGCUUGAAGUCCCGAGAAGCCGGACCAAAAUCUGGUGUGCUCUUCGGAGAACUCGGUGAUAGGCGCUGCAUGGCUGUCGUCAGCUCGUGUCGUGAGAUGUUGGGUUAAGUCUCGCAACGAGCGCAACCCCUAUUUUUAGUUGCCAUUAUUAAGUUAGGCACUCUAGGGAGACUGCCUGGGUUAACCAGGAGGAAGGUGGGGAUGACGUCAAGUCCUCAUGGCCCUUAUGUCUAGGGCUACACACGUAAUACAAUGGUGCAUACAAUGGGAAGCGACCCUGCGAAGGUGAGCAAAUCUCAAAAAGUGCAUCUCAGUCCGGAUUG
rnacentral:rRNA from 1 species